UUGCUCCCUGAUGUUAGCGGCGGACGGGUGAGUAACACGUGGGUAACCUGCCUGUAAGACUGGGAUAACUCCGGGAAACCGGGGCUAAUACCGGAUGGUUGUUUGAACCGCAUGGUUCAAACAUAAAAGGUGGCUUCGGCUACCACUUACAGAUGGACCCGCGGCGCAUUAGCUAGUUGGUGAGGUAACGGCUCACCAAGGCAACGAUGCGUAGCCGACCUGAGAGGGUGAUCGGCCACACUGGGACUGAGACACGGCCCAGACUCCUACGGGAGGCAGCAGUAGGGAAUCUUCCGCAAUGGACGAAAGUCUGACGGAGCAACGCCGCGUGAGUGAUGAAGGUUUUCGGAUCGUAAAGCUCUGUUGUUAGGGAAGAACAAGUACCGUUCGAAUAGGGCGGUACCUUGACGGUACCUAACCAGAAAGCCACGGCUAACUACGUGCCAGCAGCCGCGGUAAUACGUAGGUGGCAAGCGUUGUCCGGAAUUAUUGGGCGUAAAGGGCUCGCAGGCGGUUUCUUAAGUCUGAUGUGAAAGCCCCCGGCUCAACCGGAGAGGGUCAUUGGAAACUGGGGAACUUGAGUGCAGAAGAGGAGAGUGGAAUUCCACGUGUAGCGGUGAAAUGCGUAGAGAUGUGGAGGAACACCAGUGGCGAAGGCGACUCUCUGGUCUGUAACUGACGCUGAGGAGCGAAAGCGUGGGAGCGAACAGGAUUAGAUACCCUGGUAGUCCACGCCGUAAACGAUGAGUGCUAAGUGUUAGGGGUUUCCGCCCUUAGUGCUGCACUACGCAUAAGCACUCCGCCUGGGAGACGGUCGCAGACUGAACUCAAGGAAUGACGGGGGCCGCACAACCGUGGACCUGUGCUUAUUCGAACCACGCUAGAACUUACCAGGUUUGAC
rnacentral:rRNA from 2 species